UACGGAGGGUGCAAGCGUUAAUCGGAAUUACUGGGCGGAAAGCGUGCGCAGGCGGUUAUAUAAGACAGAUGUGAAAUCCCCGGGCUCAACCUGGGAACUGCAUUUGUGACUGUAUAGCUAGAGUACGGUAGAGGGGGAUGGAAUUCCGCGUGUAGCAGUGAAAUGCGUAGAUAUGCGGAGGAACACCGAUGGCGAAGGCAAUCCCCUGGACCUGUACUGACGCUCAUGCACGAAAGCGUGGGGAGCAAACAGG
rnacentral:rRNA from 1 species